rnacentral:rRNA from 1 species
AGUGAACGCUGGCGGUAGGCCUAACACAUGCAAGUCGAACGGCAGCACAGUAAGAGCUUGCUCUUACGGGUUGCGAGUGGCGGACGUGUGAGGAAUACAUCGGAAUCUACUUUUUCGUGGGGGAUAACGUAGGGAAACUUACGCUAAUACCGCAUACGACCUACGGGUGAAAGCAUGGGAUCUUCGGACCUUGCGCGAUUGAAUGAGCCGAUGUCGGAUUAGCUAGUUGGCGGGGUAAAGGCCCACCAAGGCGACGAUCCGUAGCUGGUCUGAGAGGAUGAUAAGCCACACUGGAACUGAGACACGGUCCAGACUCCUACGGGAGGCAGCAGUGGGGAAUAUUGGACAAUGGGCGCAAGCCUGAUCCAGCCAUACCGCGUGGGUGAAGAAGGCCUUCGGGUUGUAAAGCCCUUUUGUUGGGAAAGAAAAGCAGCAGGUUAAUACCCCGCUGUUCUGACGGUACCCAAAGAAUAAGCACCGGCUAACUUCGUG